rnacentral:rRNA from 1 species
GAUGAACGCUGGCGGCGUGCCUAAUACAUGCAAGUCGAGCGAACAGACGAGGAGCUUGCUCCUCUGACGUUAGCGGCGGACGGGUGAGUAAAACGUGGAUAACCUACCUAUAAGACUGGGAUAACUUCGGGAAACCGGAGCUAAUACCGGAUAAUAUAUUGAACCGCAUGGUUCAAUAGUGAAAGACGGGUUUGCUGUCACUUAUAGAUGGAUCCGCGCCGCAUUAGCUAGUUGGUAAGGUAACGGCUUACCAAGGCAACGAUGCGUAGCCGACCUGAGAGGGUGAUCGGCCACACUGGAACUGAGACACGGUCCAGACUCCUACGGGAGGCAGCAGUAGGGAAUCUUCCGCAAUGGGCGAAAGCCUGACGGAGCAACGCCGCGUGAGUGAUGAAGGUCUUCGGAUCGUAAAACUCUGUUAUUAGGGAAGAACAAAUGUGUAAGUAACUAUGCACGUCUUGACGGUACCUAAUCAGAAAGCCACGGCUAACUACGUG